rnacentral:rRNA from 1 species
UACGUAGGGGGCAAGCGUUGUCCGGAAUCAUUGGGCGUAAAGCGCGUGUAGGCGGCUUGAUAAGUCUGCUCUGAAAGCCCGGGGCUCAACCCCGGGAGGCGGGUGGAUACUGUCAAGCUCGAGUCCGGAAGAGGAGUGUGGAAUUCCUGGUGUAGCGGUGAAAUGCGCAGAUAUCAGGAGGAACACCGGUGGCGAAGGCGGUUCUCUGGGCCUUACCUGACACUGAGGAGCGAAAGCGUGGGGAGCGAACAGG